AGGACGAACGCUGGCGGCACGCUUAACACAUGCAAGUCGAACGGAGAUAUUUGGUUACUGAGAUAUCUUAGUGGCGGACGGGUGAGUAACACGUGAGCAACCUGCCUUUGAGAGAGGGAUAGCUUCUGGAAACGGAUGGUAAUACCUCAUGACAUACUUUUAUCGCAUGGUAGAAGUAUCAAAGAUUUAUCACUCAGAGAUGGGCUCGCGUCUGAUUAGCUAGUUGGUGAGGUAACGGCUCACCAAGGCGACGAUCAGUAGCCGGACUGAGAGGUUGAACGGCCACAUUGGGACUGAGACACGGCCCAGACUCCUACGGGAGGCAGCAGUGGGGAAUAUUGCACAAUGGGGGAAACCCUGAUGCAGCGAUGCCGCGUGGAGGAAGAAGGUUUUCGGAUUGUAAACUCCUGUCUUAAAGGACGAUAAUGACGGUACUUUAGGAGGAAGCUCCGGCUAACUACGUGCCAGCCGCCGC
rnacentral:rRNA from 1 species